rnacentral:miRNA from 1 species
AACUGAAUCCCCUGGGAAUCUUGAUAAGAUGCAGAUUCGGAUUCCAUGGGUCUGGGUGGGCCUCAGGUUCUGCAUUUCUAACAGACUCCUAGAUGUUGCUGCU